CAGCUCUUGCAACUACAAGCUCUCCUUCAACUGAGUCUCAAACAACAACUCCUUCAAAGCCAGGUGUGAUCAAGAAUCUCACUGUGAACAUCAUCACAACAUCAUCUGUGUUUCUGACAUGGAAUGAACCAGUUGGAAAUAGAGCUUUCUUUAAAAUUCAGUGGAUGGGUGAUAAAACAAAUGGAAAUUCAACAACUACAAACAUUACCUAUAACAUCACUGGUCUGACUGCUGGAGUCAAUUACACAUUCUGCAUCACUGCUGUGGCAGCAGAUCAAGUAACAGAAGGAGAAACUGUCUGCAUCUCACAAUAUACCAAGCCAGAUGUGGUCAGGAAUCUCAGAGUGAAAAAUAUCACAACAUCAUCUGUGUUUCUGACAUGGGAUGAACCAGUUGAAAAUAGAUCUUUUUUAAGUUCGCUGGACUGAUGAUGAAACAAAUAAAAAUAGUACUUAUACUUCCUAUAACAUCACUUGUCUGACUGCUGGAGUCAAUUACACAUUCUGCAUCACUGCUGUGGCAGCAGAUCAACAAACAGAAGGAGAAACUGUCUGAAUCUCACAAUUCACAUAGCCAAACAUGAUCAUAAAUCUAACAGUGUCUGAAAUCACAACAUCAUCUGUGUUUCUGACAUGGGAUGAACCAUUUGGAAAUAGAUCUUUCUUUAAAAUUCAGUGGAUGGGUGAUAAAACAAAUGGAAAUUCAACUACUGACACUUCCUAUAACAUCCCUGGUCUGACUGCUGGAGUCAAUUACACAUUAAACAUCACAGCUGUUGCAGCAGAUCAAUCAACAGAAGGAGAAUCAGUGGUUACCUCAAAAU